GGGGUUGUGGCUCAAGUGGUAGCGUGCUCACCUAGCAUGUGCGAGGCACUGGGUUCGAUCCUCAAAACCACA
rnacentral:tRNA from 1 species